UUCCUUGUAGCAACAUAUUUUUGUCUGACAUGACCUCCUAGGGCAGUGAUCGGCGAACUCCUUAGUCCACAGAGCCAAAUAUCAACAGUACAACAAUUGAAAUUUCUUUGGAGAGCCAAAUUUUUUAAACUUAAACUUCUCCUAACGCCACUUCUUCAAA